AUACGAACCGUCCAAACGUUAUUCGGAAUCAUUGGGCUUAAAGGGUGCGUAGGCGGUGUGGUCAGUUGGGUGUGAAAUCCCUCGGCUCAACCGAGGAACUGCGCCCAAUACUGCCACACUCGAGGGAGACAGAGGUAAGCGGAACUGAUGGUGGAGCGGUGAAAUGCGUUGAUAUCAUCAGGAACACCAGUGGCGAAGGCGGCUUACUGGGUCUCUUCUGACGCUGAGGCACGAAAGCUAGGGGAGCGAACGGGAUUAGAUACCCCGGUAGUCC
rnacentral:rRNA from 1 species